rnacentral:rRNA from 1 species
AACAAGGAUUCCCCUAGUAACUGCGAGUGAAGCGGGAAAAGCUCAAAUUUAAAAUCUGAUAGUCUUUGGCUGUCCGAAUUGUAAUCUAGAGAAGUGUUAUCCGCGCUGGACCGUGUACAAGUCUCCUGGAAUGGAGCGUCAUAGAGGGUGAGAAUCCCGUCUUUGACACGGACUGCCAGGGCUUUGUGAUGCGCUCUCAAAGAGUCGAGUUGUUUGGGAAUGCAGCUCAAAAUGGGUGGUAAAUUCCAUCUAAAGCUAAAUAUUGGCGAGAGACCGAUAGCGAACAAGUACCGUGAGGGAAAGAUGAAAAGAACUUUGGAAAGAGAGUUAAACAGUACGUGAAAUUGCUGAAAGGGAAACGCUUGAAGUCAGUCGCGUUGUCCAGGGAUCAACCUUGCUUUUGCUUGGUGCACUUUCUGGUUGACGGGUCAGCAUCAAUUUUGACUAUUGGAAAAAGAUUAGGGGAAUGUGGCAUCUUCGGAUGUGUUAUAGCCCUUGGUUGCAUACAAUGGUUGGGAUUGAGGAACUCAGCACGCCGCAAGGCCGGGUUUUUAACCACGUACGUGCUUAGGAUGCUGGCAUAAUGGCUUUAAUCGACCCGUCUUGAAACACGGACCAAGGAGUCUAACAUGCCUGCGAGUGUUUGGGUGGAAAACCCGAGCGCGUAAUGAAAGUGAAAGUUGAGAUCCCUGUCGUGGGGAGCAUCGACGCCCGGACCAGACCUUUUGUGACGGUUCCGCGGUAGAGCAUGUAUGUUGGGACCCGAAAGAUGGUGAACUAUGCCUGAAUAGGGUGAAGCCAGAGGAAACUCUGGUGGAGGCUCGUAGCGAUUCUGACGUGCAAAUCGAUCGUCAAAUUUGGGUAUAGGG